UUCUAAUUCUGUGACUUCGAAUUUUAAUUUAUUUUAUUUGGCGAUUUCUUCGCGAGAAAUUCGCAAAAACAUCUCGACCUCACUGUGAUUCCCGAAGAAUGCGUCCUUCAAGAUUCCUACGUUACUAACGGAUCGUCCGUGGAAGAUGGCGACCUCUUUGUAAAAUGCAGUAUUGAUACGAUAUCAUUCAUUGUUAAGUAAAGAGAAAUCUCGGACGAAACCUAUCUUAUCGGUUCGUGGUAUGAAGGCACGCUACACUUGAUCGAUUAGUACCAGCAGUUUGCGAAGAUUUUUGAAUGCCACAAAGAUG